rnacentral:rRNA from 1 species
AAAAGCUCGUAGUUGGAUCUGGGUCGUACGGCUACAUGCUGUUGCUCGUAUACAGGACUUCGGUUUUGUGUGCGAGUCGGCGUCGUGGUUGUGCAGCCUUUCUGCCGUGUCUGUUUCGACAGGUGCUGAGUGAAUGGGUUUCACGAUCCGUUCCUCAGCAUGCUUCCAGAUGCCUUUAACCGGGUGUCGGGAGCGGACGGCACGUUUACUUUGAACAAAUUUGAGUGCUCAAAGGAGGCCACUGCGCCUAUAAAUUCUUGCAUGGAAUAAUGGAAUAGGACUUCGGUUCUAUUUUGUUGGUUUUCGGAUCCGAAGUAAUGGUUAAGAGGGACAGACGGGGGCAUUUGUAUGGCGGUGUUAGAGGUGAAAUUCUUGGAUCGCCGCCAGACAAACUACAGCGAAAGCAUUUGCCAAGGAUGUUUUCAUUGAUCUGGAGCGAAAGUCAGAGGUUCGAAGACGAUCAGAUACCGUCCUAGUUCUGACCAUAAACGAUGCCAACUGACGAUCCGUGGUGGUAUUAAUGAU